UCUUGGUCAAUUUAGAGGAAGUAAAAGUCGUAACAAGGUUUCCGUAGGUGAACCUGCGGAAGGAUCAUUAUUGAAUGAAUGUAGAGUUGGUUGUCGCUGGCCCUUUCGGGGGCAUGUGCACGCCUUCUCUUUCAUCCACACACACCUGUGCACUUGUGAGACGGAGGACUUUAAUUAGUUUUCCGUCUACUUAAUUACACAAACUCAUUUAAUUAAAUUGAAUGUAAUUGAUGUAACGCAUCAUUAGAACUAAGUUUCAACAACGGAUCUCUUGGCUCUCGCAUCGAUGAAGAACGCAGCGAAAUGCGAUAAGUAAUGUGAAUUGCAGAAUUCAGUGAAUCAUCGAAUCUUUGAACGCACCUUGCGCUCCUUGGUAUUCCUUGGAGCAUGCCUGUUUGAGUAUCAUGAAAUUCUCAAAGUCAAUCUUUUGUUAAUUCAACUGGUUUGCUUUGGACUUGGAGGUCUUUGCAGAUUUCACRUCUGCUCCUCUUAAAUUUAUUAGCUGGAUCUCAGYAUAUGCUUGGUUCCACUCGGCGUGAUAAGUAUCACUCGCUGAGGACACUGUAAAAAGUGGCCAGGAAAUGCAGAUGAACCGCUUCUAACAGUCUAUUAAGUUAGACAAUUAAUUUUAAGAUCUGAUCUCAAAUCAGGUAGGACUACCCGCUGAACUUAA
rnacentral:rRNA from 1 species